AUUGAACGCUGGCGGCAGGCCUAACACAUGCAAGUCGAGCGGAUGAAGGGAGCUUGCUCCUGGAUUCAGCGGCGGACGGGUGAGUAUGCCUAGGAAUCUGCCUGGUAGUGGGGGAUAACGUCCGGAAACGGGCGCUAAUACCGCAUACGUCCUGAGGGAGAAAGUGGGGGAUCUUCGGACCUCACGCUAUCAGAUGAGCCUAGGUCGGAUUAGCUAGUUGGUGGGGUAAAGGCCUACCAAGGCGACGAUCCGUAACUGGUCUGAGAGGAUGAUCAGUCACACUGGAACUGAGACACGGUCCAGACUCCUACGGGAGGCAGCAGUGGGGAAUAUUGGACAAAGGGCGAAAGCCUGAUCCAGCCAUGCCGCGUGUGUGAAGAAGGUCUUCGGAUUGUAAAGCACUUUAAGUUGGGAGGAAGGGCAGUAAGUUAAUACCUUGCUGUUUUGACGUUACCAACAGAAUAAGCACCGGCUAACUUCGUG
rnacentral:rRNA from 1 species